rnacentral:rRNA from 1 species
CGGGGGAAAGAUUUAUCGCUACAUGAUGAGCUUAUGUUAGAUUAGCUAGUUGGUGGGGUAAAGGCCUACCAAGGCAGUGAUCUAUAGCUGGUCUGAGAGGAUGAUCAGCCACACUGGAACUGAGACACGGUCCAGACUCCUACGGGAGGCAGCAGUGGGGAAUAUUGGACAAUGGGCGAAAGCCUGAUCCAGCUAUGCCGCGUGAGUGAGGAAGGCCUUAGGGUUGUAAAACUCUUUCAG